rnacentral:lncRNA from 1 species
UUUGAGAGAAAGUGCAUCUAUACUGAACAUAAAUUCACUACAAUAGAAUUAGGUUAUAAAAAUAUAUUUUUGAGACAUUUUUGUGUAAGUGUCUUAUUUAUGCUAAAUUUUUUAAAAAAAUCUACUAAGGUCUAAAUAUAAAGCCGAAUUCAAUCAAAAUCAAAAAGUUUCUCAACUCAACAAAAAAAAAAGAAAAAUUGAUAACCAUCUCCCAUUCUCCUUCUCCGCCGUCGUCGUCGACGCGGUAGUUCCGACUGCUGGAGUUCGGCUGCAAGGAUCUCGUAGGGAUCGUAGAGGGCUACGAUCCCUAUGUGUUCCUCCGUCAUAGGUCGCUGAAGGAGUGGGUGCCAAACAUCAAAGCGGCUCUACAUAUUAUAGCGAUCCCACAUAUAACAUUUGGUAAUUUAAUCAGUAGCACUUUUUUUUAACCUAUACCGAUAUUUAAAAAUAUCGCUAAACGUCGUUUUUGUUGUAGUGAUUAUGUUUGAGUUAUAGUUGCACUU